rnacentral:tRNA from 1 species
GGUUCUAUGGUGUAGUGGUUAGCACUCUGAACUUUGAAUCCAGCGACCUGGGUUUGACUCUGGUAGGACGU